rnacentral:misc_RNA from 1 species
GCGGUCGGCGCAGGCGUU